CCCUUAGAUGUUCGGGGCCGCACACGCGCUACACUGAAGGAGGCAGCGUGUACUCCUGGAUCGAAAGAUUUGGGUAACCCGCGAAUCUCCUUCGUGCUAGGGAUUGAGGUUUGCAAUUAUCCUUCAUGAACGAGGAAUUCCCAGUAAGUGCAAGUCAUAAGCUUGCGCUGACUACGUCCCUGCCCUUUGUACACACCGCCCGUCGCUACUACCGAUUGAAUGAUUUAGUGAGGACUUCGGACUGGGACCGAUGCGGCUUUCGGGCUGCGUCGGUAUUCUGGAAAGAUGUCCAAACUGUAUCAUUUAGAGGAAGUAAAAGUCGUAACA
rnacentral:rRNA from 1 species